rnacentral:rRNA from 1 species
AUUGAACGCUGGCGGCAGGCCUAACACAUGCAAGUCGAGCGGAUGAAGGGAGCUUGCUCCUGGAUUCAGCGGCGGACGGGUGAGUAAUGCCUAGGAAUCUGCCUGGUAGUGGGGGAUAACGUCCGGAAACGGGCGCUAAUACCGCAUACGUCCUGAGGGAGUAAGUGGGGGAUCUUCGGACCUCACGCUAUCAGAUGAGCCUAGGUCGGAUUAGCUAGUUGGUGGGGUAAAGGCCUACCAAGGCGACGAUCCGUAACUGGUCUGAGAGGAUGAUCAGUCACACUGGAACUGAGACACGGUCCAGACUCCUACGGGAGGCAGCAGUGGGGAAUAUUGGACAAUGGGCGAAAGCCUGAUCCAGCCAUGCCGCGUGUGUGAAGAAGGUCUUCGGAUUGUAAAGCACUUAAGUUGGGAGGAAGGGCAGUAAGUUAAUACCUUGCUGUUUUGACGUUACCAACAGAAUAAGCACCGGCUAACUUCGUG